rnacentral:tRNA from 1 species
GCCUUCGUGUGUAACGGUAGCACACUCGGCUCGUAUUCGAGAAACCAGGUUCGAGUCCUGGCGGAGGCA